GAUGAACGCUAGCGGCGGGCCUAAUACAUGCAAGUUGAACGGGAUUGUUGGUAGCAAUAUUGACAUGAGAGUGGCGCACGGGUGCGUAACACGUAUGUAACCUACCUUUAACUGGGGCAUAGCUUCGAGAAAUCGAAAUUAAUACCCCAUAACAUUUAGAAAAGGCAUCUUUUCUUUAUCAAGCUCAGGCGGUUAAGGAUGGACAUGCGGUGCAUUAGCUUGUUGGUGAGGUAACGGCUCACCAAGGCUACGAUGCAUAGGGGGUCUGAGAGGAUGAUCCCCCACACUGGUACUGAGACACGGACCAGACUCCUACGGGAGGCAGCAGUAGGGAAUAUUGGACAAUGGGCGAAAGCCUGAUCCAGCCAUGCCGCGUGCAGGAUGACGGCCCUAUGGGUUGUAAACUGCUUUUAUAUGGGAAGAAACACUCCGACGUGUCGGAGCUUGACGGUACCAUACGAAUAAGGAUCGGCUAACUCCGUGCCAGCAGCCG
rnacentral:rRNA from 1 species